GACGAACGCUGGCGGCGUGCUUAACACAUGCAAGUCGAACGGUAAGGCCCUUCGGGGUACACGAGUGGCGAACGGGUGAGUAGCACGUGGGUGAUCUGCCCUGCACUUCGGGAUAAGCCUGGGAAACUGGGUCUAAUACCGGAUAGGACCACUGCCUGCAUGGGUGGUGGUGGAAAGCUUUUGCGGUGUGGGAUGGGCCCGCGGCCUAUCAGCUUGUUGGUGGGGUGAUGGCCUACCAAGGCGACGACGGGUAGCCGGCCUGGGAGGGUGACCGGCCACACUGGGACUGGGAUACGGCCCAGACUCCUACGGGAGGCAGCAGUGGGGAAUAUUGCACAAUGGGCGCAAGCCUGAUGCAGCGACGCCGCGUGAGGGAUGACGGCCUUCGGGUUGUAAACCUCUUUCAGCACCGACGAAGCGCAAGUGACGGUAGGUGUAGAAGAAGGACCGGCCAACUACGUGCCAGCCGCCGCGGUAA
rnacentral:rRNA from 1 species